UUUACGAUGGAGAGUUUGAUCCUGGCUCAGGAUGAACGCUAGCGGCAGGCCUAAUACAUGCAAGGCGAAGGGGCAGCAAUGUCACUGUCGUACGGGUGCGUAACGCGUAUGCAACCUACCUAUCACAGGGGAAUAGCCUUUGGAAACAGGGAUUAAUACCGCAUAAAGCAGGGACUCCGCAUGGAGAUAUUGCUAAAGAUUUAUCGGUGAUAGAUGGGCAUGCGUCUGAUUAGUUAGUUGGCAGGGUAACGGCCUACCAAGACGAUGAUCAGUAGGGGGCGUCAGAGCGUGGUCCCCCACACUGGCACUGAGAUACGGGCCAGACUCCUACGGGAGGCAGCAGUAGGGAAUAUUGGGCAAUGGAUGCAAGUCUGACCCAGCCAUGCCGCGUGCAGGAAGAAGGUCCUCUGGAUUGUAAACUGCUUUUAUCGGGGAAGAAUAGGUUUCUUGCGAGGGACUGUGACGGUACCCGAUGAAUAAGCCACGGCUAACUACGUGCCAGCAGCCGCGGUAAUACGUAGGUGGCAAGCGUUGUCCGGAUUUAUUGGGUUUAAAGGGUGCGUAGGUGGUUUUAUAAGUCAG
rnacentral:rRNA from 2 species